rnacentral:rRNA from 1 species
UACGUAGGGCGCAAGCGUUGUCCGGAAUUAUUGGGCGUAAAGAGCUCGUAGGCGGCCUGUCGCGUCCGCUGUGAAAUCCCGGGGCUUAACCCCGGGCGUGCAGUGGAUACGGGCUGGCUAGAGGCAGGCAGGGGAGAACGGAAUUCCCGGUGUAGCGGUGAAAUGCGCAGAUAUCGGGAGGAACACCAGUGGCGAAGGCGGCGACCUGGGCCAAUAUUGACGCUGAGGUGCGAAAGCGUGGGGAGCAAACAGG